rnacentral:rRNA from 1 species
AACGAACGCUGGCGGCAGGCCUAACACAUGCAAGUCGAGCGCGCCCUUCGGGGUGAGCGGCGGACGGGUGAGUAACGCGUGGGAAUAUGCCCUUCACUGCGGAAUAGCCUUUGGAAACGAAGAGUAAUACCGCAUACGCCCUUCGGGGGAAAGAUUUAUCGGUGAAGGAUUAGCCCGCGUUGGAUUAGGUAGUUGGUGGGGUAAAAGCCUACCAAGCCGACGAUCCAUAGCUGGUUUGAGAGGAUGAUCAGCCACACUGGGACUGAGACACGGUCCAGACUCCUACGGGAGGCAGCAGCAGGGAAUCUUGGACAAUGGGCGCAAGCCUGAUCCAGCCAUGCCGCGUGUGUGAAGAAGGCCCUAGGGUUGUAAAGCACUUUCAGUGGUGAAGAAACGCUCGAGGUUAAUACCCUCGAGUACUGACGUUAACCACAGAAGAAGCACCGGCUAACUCCGUG